UUGCUAUGAUGACUUUCUUAGGACACCUUUGGAAUUUAACAUGAAAAUACUACUUGGUCUGAGCAAU